AGUUUGAUCAUGGCUCAGAUUGAACGCUGGCGGCAUGCCUUACACAUGCAAGUCGAACGGCAGCACGGGAGCUUGCUCCUGGUGGCGAGUGGCGAACGGGUGAGUAAUGCAUCGGAACGUAUCCUGGAGUGGGGGAUAACGUAGCGAAAGUUACGCUAAUACCGCAUAUUCUGUGAGCAGGAAAGCGGGGGACCUUCGGGCCUCGCGCUCUUGGAGCGGCCGAUGUCGGAUUAGCUAGUUGGUGAGGUAAAGGCUCACCAAGGCGACGAUCCGUAGCAGGUCUGAGAGGAUGAUCUGCCACACUGGAACUGAGACACGGUCCAGACUCCUACGGGAGGCAGCAGUGGGGAAUUUUGGACAAUGGGGGCAACCCUGAUCCAGCCAUGCCGCGUGAGUGAAGAAGGCCUCGGUUGUAAGACGUCUUCGUCGAGGAAGG
rnacentral:rRNA from 1 species